UACGUAGGGUGCAAGCGUUGUCCGGAAUUAUUGGGCGUAAAGAGCUCGUAGGCGGUCUGUCGCGUCGGCUGUGAAAACUUGGGGCUCAACCCCAAGCCUGCAGUCGAUACGGGCAGACUAGAGUGCGGUAGGGGAGACUGGAAUUCCUGGUGUAGCGGUGAAAUGCGCAGAUAUCAGGAGGAACACCAGUGGCGAAGGCGGCUAUCUGGACCGUAACUGACGCUGAGGCGCGAAAAGCGUGGGGAGCAAACAGG
rnacentral:rRNA from 1 species